GCCAGUUCCACAGUGGUCCAAGUUCUCUUCCCCUAAUAAAUUAUGGGCUGAUUUGUAAGACCGUGAAGCACUGCUGCGAAACCCCAUUAGCCCAGAGGCACACCUCUGCCCCUAGUGCUCCAAUGCCUCAAGGUAAUGGCUGCUCCACGAAUCUGCAACUGCCCCAUGAGGAUCCCUCAAUGCACCCAGGCAGGUACUGGAACAGCAUCCCUUCGUGGUGCUUGAGCAUCUUCAGUGAAAGAGCCUCUGCAUGUAGGAGAAGCUGGGGGUGGUGCCAAGUCUCUAAAGUGUUCCAAUGCUAUUUAUCACACAGAGGUUUUCUCCCAGUUUCCUGGAGCACCUCACUGUGCUGCCAGGAGAGUGACUUCCUGGAAAAAAGAGCUGAAAUAAGUCAUACACACCCUGGUACUUCUAUACUAAAGGAAGGUGCGAAGUUUCUUCUCCUCCAAUGCUCUGUGCCAUACAGCUCCUUAUGGGCAUAGCCUUGAACAGCAAGAAUACAGCCUAGCAACAUGAGUCAGCACAGGGAAGACACUGUGCUGCUAUUGGCUGUUCUUAGGUGAAAUUAGCCUUAAAUAUCACCCACCUGGCAGCACUGUAGUAUCAAACAGGUCCUGGCCUGCAGCAGAAAUGCUAAGUCACAGCCUGUAGCAGUGAUUGAGCACCUGGUGAGAAGGCAGGGCCAGCCCAGGGGAGCUCAGGUGCAUGCAAUGCGGCUGAAUGACCGAAGGGGAUGGAGCCAGCAUCCACCCCUUCCCAGACCUCAUUUAAGGGUAGGCAGUCUUGCUGGAAAUCCCUGUGUCUUCCAAAGCAGCUGUACUCACAAACUGAGUGCAAGAGAAGCCACACCACCCUGCUGAGAAAGCGAGGCAGAAACUGGACAGACAAGGGUGUUCCUGGAUGUUGGUGGGAAAGAUGCUUGGUUCCCUGCAAGCACCGUAAAGCAGGAUGUGGAUGGUGGGGCUGGAGGAGAAACUCUAGCAGAGAGAGCAUUUCUGGAUGGUAAAAAGCCGUUAUUUCUGGCCAGAGCCUGGUUGCUUUGUGCAAAAGCAAACAUUCCAGCCUCACGUUGGCAGCACCACCACCUGUUAGCGGUGGGGUAACCAUGAGCACCCAGAGAAAAGAUGUCCUGAAGGACCAGCAGCAGCUGCCCAAAGGCUGUCACAAAAUCACCCACGUUUCCUGUCUUACAGAACUGAGGCCCAGAGGAUUUAUUAUUUCUACAAGUGUGCUUCAGCCCUGCUGUUGCCUUUGGCAGCUGGCUCCCUGAGCCUUGGUGCUGGCUGCUGACUGAAACCAAGGCACUGAGGACAGGAUGCAUCGCCCAUCCCAAGCCGUGCUGACCUGUUCUGCUGCUCUGGGGCUCACAUGGGGCUUAGCCGACGAGUGUCCCCUCCUCUGCAAAGUAGGACAUUCUGUCCGAGUGUGGAAAACACACGCUGCUGCUUCUGAUCAACUAAAUUAGGAGCUCAAUUAUUUUAAUGGCUCUUUAUUUUUUUCAGAGAACAAUCAUCCGGGGCCAGGAUGUUUUUUCUUUCUAAGCAGACUGUCUGUGCUAAUGGCUUGCAACUUGUCAACAGGAACCAAAUUCCCAUGGUGUCUGAAGGCAGAACCAUGGCAUUUUGGCAUAUUUCACCAUGCUCCAAUCAAUCACCUCUGAAAACAAUAUUGUGAGAGAGAUUGGUUGGAUGAGAUGGAUGGAAAACUAGAAUUUAUUCCCCAUUUCCUUUCUCCUCCUGCCACAGUGUACAUAACUGCAGCACUUGUAUAAACUGUUUAGGGAAGAGACUCUCACUCCUGUACACAGGGGUUUGGGUCCCAGUUCUGAUGGACCGGUAGUAAGGCUCUUUUAUGCCAUAUAUUUAUGAUGGGUGUCUUGAUUUCUUUAUGACUUGGUAACAUUUAUGGUGGAAGAAUAGAUGCUGACCUCUGUUGCUUUUCAUCAUCUAUUUUAUUUUUUAAGAACAGAAUGCAGUAUAAUUAAAUAUAAUAUUAAUAUAAUAACCUUUUAGAGUGCCAGAAACAUGCAGUGACAUAGUAGUGGAGUGAUACGGUGGUGGAAUGUACUCACUAGGAGAAUAAUACGUGUUUUGGCAUGUCUUCGUCAGAUAGUAUUUCCCCAACAAUUUGGUUCAGACUGUAGCCAACUUGAUUUGUAAACCAAGAGGUGGUCAGAUGGAGAUUGCACAUUUUGCAUCAGAUAAUGUGUACGUAAAUGUUCCAUUAUUCCAUCUGCUCUUGUUAAUGUUGACAACAGUCACCAUCAGUAAAGCAAUAUUUGCUGGCCAUGACUGUCCAGGUGCUCUCUGAGAUAACCUAGUCCAUCCUUAUAAUACAAACUGGCAAAUAUCUGGGCUGCUUCCAGACACAACUGUGUGGGAUCUACUGAUAGAAGCUGACUAUUUUUAAAUACCGUGUGCUAUAUAUAAAAUGCCAAACAAUUCACAAAUAAGCUAAGACCUUAAAUAACUGGGGCCAUAUGUAUGUAUAUUUAUUCUACCCACUCUUCGCACCAAAAUAUCCUUAUCUGCUGGCUUAGCAAUCAUUGCUCAGCAAUUUUUUGAGUUCCCAAAGGUUUUUUUUUUCUUUCUACCACACCUGCUAAUACAGAGUUUGCUUUAAAAAGAUUGUUCUUGACAAACUGAGUUUGUUUCUAGUAAAUAUCAGAUGACCAUUAGGACAAAUAUGUAUGCUUCCAGUGUAAUGAUAAUUUGCAGUCUUUUUUUUUUUCAUACUUUAACAUGCAUAUAUGGAUAAGGUUGGAUGUUUGGAAAAAUUUCUCAGAGUGGUGAUGCACUGACACAGCUGCCCAGGGAGGUGAUGGGGUCGCUAUUUCUGGAGGUGUCUGAGAACUGUGGAGAUGUGGCACUGAGGGAUGUGGUCAGCGGGCAUGGUGGGAUGGGUUGGGUUUGGACCUUAUGGCCUUACAAGUCUCUGCUGAGUGUGUAGGAAGUUCAUAACACUUCUUUUGUCUGGAGGACAGAGAUGAGUGGACAUCACAGAAACUUGACUCUUGGAUUUGUGUUUUUUUUGUGGCAGUGGUUGUGUU